rnacentral:rRNA from 1 species
GUGGCAGGGGCGGCGGUAAUACGGAGGGUGCGAGCGUUAAUCGGAAUUACUGGGCGUAAAGCGCGCGUAGGCGGUUGUCUAAGUCGGAUGUGAAAGCCCUGGGCUUAACCUGGGAACUGCAUUCGAUACUGGUCGACUAGAGUACGAGAGAGGGAGGUAGAAUUCCAUGUGUAGCGGUGAAAUGCGUAGAUAUGUGGAGGAAUACCGGUGGCGAAGGCGGCCUCCUGGCUCGAUACUGACGCUCAGGUGCGAAAGCGUGGGGAGCAAACAGGAUUAGAUACCCUGGUAGUCCACGCCGUAAACGAUGUCUACUAGCCGUUGGGAGACUUGAUUUCUUAGUGGCGCAGCUAACGCACUAAGUAGACCGCCUGGGGAGUACGGCCGCAAGGUUAAAACUCAAAUGAAUUGACGGGGGCCCGCACAAGCGGUGGAGCAUGUGGUUUAAUUCGAUGCAACGCGAAGAACCUUACCAGGUCUUGACAUCCUGCGAAUUUUCUAGAGAUAGGAUUAGUGCCUUCGGGAACGCAGUGACAGGUGCUGCAUGGCUGUCGUCAGCUCGUGUCGUGAGAUGUUGGGUUUAAGUCCCGUAACGAGCGCAACCCUUGUCCUUAGUUGCCAGCACAUAAUGGUGGGAACUCUAAGGAGACUGCCGGUGACAAACCGAAGGAAGGUGGGGACGACGUCAAGUCAUCAUGGCCCUUACGACNUGGGCUACACACGUGCUACAAUGGAACGCACAGAGGGUUACAACCCCGCGAGGGUGAGCUAAUCCCACAAAACGUUUCGUAGUCCGGAUCGGAGUCUGCAACUCGACUCCGUGAAGUCGGAACCGCUAGUAAUCGUGGAUCAGAAUGCCACGGUGAAUACGUUCCCGGGCCUUGUACACACCGCCCGUCACACCAUGGGAGUGGGUUGCAAAAGAAGUGGGUAGACUAACCUUCGGGAGGUCGCUCACCACUUUGUGAUUCAUGACUGGGGUGAAGUCGUAACAAGGUAACC